rnacentral:lncRNA from 1 species
GGCCGGCUGGGCGUCGGGACGGCCGGGGUUGAGCCUCAGGGCGGCUGGGCCGUUUGUUCCCCGCGGUCGGGGCGUCCUGCCGGUUCCUCAGAAACCAGCCUGGCUGCCCCAGUUCCCUCGGCGGCCGAAGCCGCUUUGCUGACCCCCUCAGGUGGUUUCUGCUGGCCGACUCUGGAGGAAGGUUCGGAGCGCCCGCGACUGAACUUCCAGAGAUAACCCACGCCAGCAAGGGAGGCUCUUUCCAUUCAUCAGGCUCACAGAUACAGAACUUACAUAGCAUUCUGGCAUAG